UGCAAGCCUUAACAAAUAACUUUUAUUCAAAUAUCCACAACUAAAUGAAAACAUAAAUCCAAGAAAAAACAAACAGUCUCGGCACAUGGGACACGAGACACGGCUUCAUCAUCACCAAGCUGAGGAUUGAAUCUUGGACUGUGCAUCGGGAGAUCAUCGCUGACCAUUGUCCAUUUCAGAGGCAGCUGCCGUUGUUGCAGGACCACCCCUUAAAAUAUUUAUAUGCACACAUAGGAGUAGUUCGGUGGACUAUGCAAAAGGCAUUCCGAUCCCGUGGCCGGUUAUUACGUGUUGGUUCGUUGGUCAGCGCGACAAUGUGAGGCAGCGUCAAGGAUUAUUGAUUAUGCAAAGUGCCCGAACCGGACAAUGGCGAGAAAAACAAAAGGCUUAAGCAAAGAAAAGGAUAC